rnacentral:rRNA from 1 species
GACGAACGCUGGCGGCGUGCCUAAUACAUGCAAGUCGAACGCAGUGGGGACGGGUGAGUAACCAGUGGGCUACCUUCCAUCAGAGGGGAAAACACUUGGAAACAGGUGCUAAACCGAUACUGAUGGAUGGACCCGCGGGGCAUUAGCUAGUUGGUGUGGUAACGGCUCACCAAGGCCACGAUGCAUAGCCGACCGGAGAGGGUGAUCGGCCACCCUGGGACUGAGACACGGCCCAGACUCCUACGUGAGGCAGCAGUAGUGAAUCUUCGGCAAUGGACGAAAGUCUGACCGAGCAACGCCGCGUGAGUGAAGAAGGUUUUCGGAUCGUAAAACUCUGUUGUUAGAGAAGCGGUAUCUAACCAGAAAGCCACGGCUAACUACGUGCCAGCAGCCGCGGUAAUUC